UAGUUUUUUAGUAAGAGAACAAUGACAUUAAUUGAUAUUAAAAUGCAAACUUGUAGAUUAUGGUUGAACCAGAAGAUUGCAUUAGGCUUUAAGUAGAAAUGUUUAUCGUUGAUGAGGAUUGUUAUUGGUAUUUUUUAAAUAUGACCUUAAUCAAAUGUGACACAAGAUAAUGAACACUAGCAGGUCGAGCAUAUUUAUUACAUCUUGUAGGCUGCACACUAUAUGUUGAAAAGAGUACCACACUUAUGAGUGCUUGGGCGCAUUUUGUGACCUUAAUCACUCUAGAGGCUUUUCAUGGGGAGCGGCUGCACUAGUGCAUAUGUAUGACAAUCUGAAUAUUGUGUUCAAGCAUACCACAAAACAUCUUUCUUGGAUCUACGAGCAUUUCCCUACGAUUGCAAAUAUUAUUGUUGAUGAGGAUUACCAUGAGAAGAAACCACAUGCUUGUCGCUGGAAGUGUGGGAAGACAUUACCAGUGACGACCUAUCACAAGCGCUUGGAUAGGAAGAUGCCAAAUGCUAUUUGUUGGAUACCUUAUGAUUAUCACCAUGCUUUCAAAGAAUUUAAGCUCAUUUCAUUAUUUUUUAGACAUAUCGGAUGGGGUUCAUCUAUUGUUAGACACCAACCAAAGAAGGUAUUACGAUAGUUUGGUUAUGUUCAAUCCAUUCCUCUACUCCCUACUGCUCCAUCUCUAUCCACAGAGGAGAUUGAUGAUAGAUGGCUUCAGUUUUCUCAAUACCUUGCACCUGUUGGAUAGUUUUGUAGUUUUCCUGAUCAGUGUGCAGUAGGCUACAUAGAGUGGUUUUAUAUGAUAUUUCAUCCAUUCAUGAGUUCGCCACAGCUUGGGGAGGCUCUUAGGCUUUCACCCAUGGUGCAUGAUGAUACAUAUAUUAUACCAAAUCCACCUAUGUUUUUUGUUCACAUAGUAGUUAUGCCACAACUAGCUACAACUACAACUAUUGAUACAAACAUGCCUUGACAUGCAAUGGCCGUUUGCCAAAAGAUAGCAGAAAACUUGGAACAUAUGGUAAAUAUGAGGAUGGUCACUGUUGGAACUAAUGCAUACGCUAUAACUGAGCACUAUUUAACAUUAUCCAAGGUUGUCAUUGAGCAAGGAAAUGUUUAUGUUUGCUCUAGACAAAGGAGGGAUACACAGGACAAAUCUCAUGGUGGACUAGGAUCAUGAUAAUUGGGAUUGACUGAAUACUAUUUAAUAUUUGUAUACACUAUGACUGAGCACUAUUUAGUAUUUGUAUUAUUUGAUUGACGAUGUAUAUGAGUAUGGUUAACAUAUGCAUUUAUUUAGUAUUUGACU